UGGGGAAUUUUGGACAAUGGGCGAAAGCCUGAUCCAGCAAUGCCGCGUGUGUGAAGAAGGCCUUCGGGUUGUAAAGCACUUUUGUCCGGAAAGAAAUCCUUGGCUCUAAUACAGUCGGGGGAUGACGGUACCGGAAGAAUAAGCACCGGCUAACUACGUGCCAGCAGCCGCGGUAAUACGUAGGGUGCAAGCGUUAAUCGGAAUUACUGGGCGUAAAGCGUGCGCAGGCGGUUUGCUAAGACCGAUGUGAAAUCCCCGGGCUCAACCUGGGAACUGCAUUGGUGACUGGCAGGCUAGAGUAUGGCAGAGGGGGUAGUAUGAUCCACGUGUAGCAGUGAAAUGCGUAGAGAUGUGGAGGAAUACCGAUGGCGAAGGCAGCCCCCUGGGCCAAUACUGACGCUCAUGCACGAAAGCGUGGGGAGCAAACAGGAUUAGAUACCCUGGUAGUCCACGCCCUAAACGAUGUCAACUAGUUGUUGGGGAUUCAUUUCCUUAGUAACGUAGCUAACGCGUGAAGUUGACCGCCUGGGGAGUACGGUCGCAAGAUUAAAACUCAAAUGAAUUGACGGGGUCAUAGCUGUUUCCU
rnacentral:rRNA from 1 species